GGUUGUAGCUCAUUGGUAAAGUGCUUGUCUGGCAUGUGUGAGGCACUGGGUUCAAUCCUCAGAACCA
rnacentral:tRNA from 1 species